rnacentral:rRNA from 1 species
UACGUAGGUGGCAAGCGUUGUCCGGAUUUAUUGGGUUUAAAGGGCGCGUAGGCGGGGUCGUAAGUCUGUGGUGAAAUCCGUCGGCUCAACCGGCGAAUGGCCGUGGAUACUGCGACCCUCGAGGGGUGUAGGGGCAUGCGGAACUCAGGGUGGAGCGGUGAAAUGCGUAGAGAUCCUGAGGAACGCCGGUGGCGAAAGCGGCGUGCUGGACACCUUCUGACGCUGAGGCGCGAAAGCCAGGGGAGCAAACGGG